rnacentral:rRNA from 2 species
UGGUGCCAGCAGCCGCGGUAAUUCCAGCUCCAAUAGCGUAUAUUAAAGUUGUUGCAGUUAAAAAGCUCGUAGUUGAAUUUCGGGAUCAGUAGGUUGGUCAUGCCUAUGGUAUGCACUGGCUUUACUGGUUCCUCCUUCUUGAUGAUCUGUAAUGUCAUUAAUUUGGUGUUGCAGGGAGUCAGGACUGUUACUUUGAAAAAAUUAGAGUGUUUAAAGCAGGCAUACGCUUGAAUACAUUAGCAUGGAAUAAUGAAAUAGGACGUUCGAUCCUAUUUUGUUGGUUUCUAGGAUUGACGUAAUGAUUAAUAGGGAUAGUUGGGGGCAUUAGUAUUCAAUUGUCAGAGGUGAAAUUCUUGGAUUUAUUGAAGACUAACUACUGCGAAAGCAUUUGCCAAGGAUGUUUUCAUUAAUCAAGAACGAAAGUUAGGGGAUCGAAGACGAUCAGAUACCGUCGUAGUCUUAACCAUAAACUAUGCCGACUAGGGA